UAGAAUAAACCCACCUGUGCUUGGGCCAGCCUGAGAGGUCUUCAUUCCUUGCUGUCCAGAAAACCUUCAAAGGCUGCAGCAUAACCAGCUUCUAACAUUGUCCACUGGAGCAGAGACUUUGGGAGCCGAGGUGAAGAUGGCGCAACUACCAGAGGGAGAGCUGGAUUCUAGAGUCCCCACUUGCUUGCCUGGAAGGAGAUCUGCUCAGAACUGCCAGGAUGUCAGAACACGGCUCUGGGCUUCCCUGGAGGAUCCAGUCUCAGCUGGUUGCUCCUCACAUGUGAUCCC
rnacentral:lncRNA from 1 species